rnacentral:rRNA from 1 species
CCUACGGGAGGCAGCAGUGAGGAAUAUUGGUCAAUGGGCGCGAGCCUGAACCAGCCAAGUCGCGUGAGGGAAGACGGUCCUAUGGAUUGUAAACCUCUUUUGUCGGGGAGCAAGGCCCGCCACGUGUGGCGGGAAGGAGAGUACCCGAAGAAAAAGCAUCCGCUAACUCCGUGCCAGCAGCAGCGGUAAUACGGAGGAUGCGAGCGUUAUCCGGAUUUAGUGGGUUUAAAGGGUGCGUAGGCGGAAGGUUAAGUCAGCGGUAAAAUGUCGGUGCUCAACACCGGCAUGCCGUUGAAACUGGUCUUCUUGAGUGAGCGAGAAGUAUGCGGAAUUCGUGGUGUAGCGGUGAAAUGCAUAGAUAUCACGCAGAACUCCGAUUGCGAAGGCAGCAUACCGGCGCUCAACUGACGCUGAGGCACGAAAGCGUGGGGAUCGAACAGGAUUAGAUACCCGAGUAGUC